AAACUAAACUACAAUAGACCUCGUAAUCCACUAUCUAUCUGUGUUGAAGUUUCCGUUUUGACUCACCAUCUGUUCCUGCACUUGUCCUGGAAAGCAAAAAAUCUGUCAGAGACAUGUGAAAGUCGGUACUGGGAUUGUAGAUUUUAAGGUGAGUUGUGAAGUAACUUAGUUUCCAGGCCUCAAUGAGCAUGACUGAAUUACAACUUUCGAACUGUAUAAUGUGUGGAAUCUCAGCAAGUAAGGUCCACUUGUUUACAUUGUUCCUGUUUCAACCGACCAGCCUGACUUUGCAAACUGUGUUGCUUUAUCCUAGCUGUGCCACGUUAGCCCAGCAAAAAUACAAGAUAAAUCCAUGACUUUUAUCCUAACAUCACAUUGAAAAGAAAGAUUCGAGAAAACAUGAAGAGUCACAGAUGUACUUGCACAAACGAUUCAAAAUGAUUACUUCGAAUAUUA